AACGAACGCUGGCGGCAGGCUUAACACAUGCAAGUCGAGCGCCCCGCAAGGGGAGCGGCAGACGGGUGAGUAACGCGUGGGAAUCUACCCAUCUCUACGGAAUAACGCAUGGAAACGUGUGCUAAUACCGUAUACGUCCUUCGGGAGAAAGAUUUAUCGGAGAUGGAUGAGCCCGCGUUGGAUUAGCUAGUUGGUGGGGUAACAGCCUACCAAGGCGACGAUCCAUAGCUGGUCUGAGAGGAUGAUCAGCCACACUGGGACUGAGACACGGCGCGGACUCCUACGGGAUGCAGCAGUGGGGAAUAUUGGACAAUCGGCGCAAGACUGAUCCAGCCAUGCCGCGUGAGUGAUGAAGGCCCUAAGGUUGUAAAGCUCUUUCACCGGUGAAGAUAAUUACGGUAACCGGAGAAGAAGCCCCGGCUAACUGCGUGCCAGCCGCCGCGGUAGCAC
rnacentral:rRNA from 1 species